CGGGCGGUGGCUACAUCAGGCGGCCUCCGCACGCUGCCCCCACCCCCAUCGCUCGGCCGCCCCAAACUUGCUUACGUCCACCCUGCUCUCCUUCUGACCGACCCCAGGAUAUCUGGAGAGAUGUGAAAAGUGUGCUGACGCGGAAGAAGUCGGUUUUUCCGCGAGCAAAGUGUCGUCCCCUCACGCUCUCCACCUGCAGCUCCAGAUCUGGUCGUGCUUUACUUAUUAUGUGGUCCAUUAGGAACUGC
rnacentral:lncRNA from 1 species